rnacentral:rRNA from 1 species
UACAGAGGUCUCAAGCGUUGUUCGGAUUCAUUGGGCGUAAAGGGUGCGUAGGCGGCGCGGUAAGUCGGGUGUGAAAUCUUGGAGCUUAACUCCGAAACUGCAUUCGAUACUGCCGUGCUUGAGGACUGGAGAGGAGACUGGAAUUUACGGUGUAGCGGUGAAAUGCGUAGAUAUCGUAAGGAAGACCAGUGGCGAAGGCGGGUCUCUGGACAGUUCCUGACGCUGAGGCACGAAGGUCCAGGGGAGCAAACGGGG